AGUUAUUUUAGUAAUGGUUCCAUCUUGGAAAUCGCUGAUUGAAUUAUGUGUGGUAGUUUCUCCACACUCUGCUUUUUAAAAAAGAAACAGAUUGAGAGGUAGACAGAUGACGUUACACACAGUAAGCAUAGAAAAGCUAAAAGUAAAGUAAAAUGGGGCUUUUGCCCAUUCCCAAGAUUAUAUUCAUGGAGGAGGGAGAAUAAAAUAAUACUUCUAUUUAAGAGUGCCUAUGUGAAAGAACAAAUGUGAUCAUGAUUCAUGUUCUCUUUAUUUUUUGGCUUUUGAUUAACUCCUUGAUAGGAAGAAAUUGAAGUUUGUGUUUCCUUUCCUUUCCUUGACUGGUAAAUAUCCACUUGAUUUACUGAAGAGAUUAAUCAGGGUGCUCUUCUUGGAUAAGAUAAGAAGCAAGCUAUAGUCUAUAGAGAAAUAUUUUACUAUCUGUUUUCUUAAGAUAAGCCUAAAGCCUUCACAGACCUGACUUAAUGUUUAGUAUAUUUUUUUCCAAAGUUUAUUUUCAAUUGCACCCUUUUCCACUGAUGGAAGAAGUUUUGUCUUAUAAAAGGAGGGAAGGAUUGGGACUGAACUAUACAGAUCCAAGAUGGUUUAAUGUGAAGGGCAGAUUUUCUCUAAUAUGCUGAAGAGAAAAGAGAAGAACCUUUCACUUGGCUAAACCUGUGUUGCUGUGCUCAUUUAGAUAACAAAGCUUUUAGUUGAGUGGUUUCUUCUCCUAGGCCAGGAUUGUAAAACAGAUGUUUAUCUUAUCUAGUCCCAAGUAAUAGUAUUUCUGUAAAAGAUCAAGCGAUGAGUAGAAUUAAGUUGCUAUGGAAAGAGUAGGUGGUGGAAGGGACGGCCUGUAGGGAAAUAACUGUAUUUAAGAUAGCAAUCCUGGAAAACAGGAUGUUUUUUUUGCUCAUGGUUUGAUUUAGUUUAGUUUUAUUUAUUUGUUUAUUUUCUAUCCUGCCCUGUACCCAAAGGUCUCAGGGCGGAUCACAAUAAAGUCACUGUAAAAACAGAUAAAAUAGAUUAG
rnacentral:lncRNA from 1 species